UACGUAGGGUGCGAGCGUUAAUCGGAAUUACUGGGCGUAAAGCGUGCGCAGGCGGUUCGUUGUGUCCGGUGUGAAAGCCCCGAGCUUAACUUGGGAAUGGCAUUGGAAACUGGCGGGCUGGAGUGUGGCAGAGGGGGGUGGAAUUCCACGUGUAGCAGUGAAAUGCGUAGAGAUGUGGAGGAACACCGAUGGCGAAGGCAGCCCCCUGGGCCAACACUGACGUUCAGGCACGAAAGCGUGGGGAGCAAACAGG
rnacentral:rRNA from 1 species